rnacentral:lncRNA from 1 species
CUCCUCCCGGCCCCUGCUCGCCCUCGCCGGGCGCUGGCCGCCUCCCGGAGCGGUGCGGUGCGGUGCGGUGCGGUGGGGAGCAGACCGGGGUGAGUCAGGGGGCGGGCGGGCGGCCAUGCAUGCGCACUGCCCGCGGGGCGGGGCGGCCGCCGCCCGGGGAAGCCGGGGCUCCAUGGCGGGGGCUCCCUGACGGGGCGGAGGGGGACGCGGCCCGGCCGCUCCCCAUACUAUCACCCUCCCCUCAGCCUUUGGCCCUCGAAGGCCGCCCUGCGCCUUCCCCGCACAUUUGGAAAGACAAAUGGUCAUUUGUCGAUUUAGAUACAGCAGUGGGGCUGUCUUUGUUUCUGGGUCUUUUAUCAUAACGUAUCUUUUAUGAGAGAAGUUGAAGGAAGUGUGAUAGAGUAACAUUCACUUCAGGGGGUUCUCGUUUUUUCUCGCUGGGGAGGAAAGCUGGCCCUCCUGGUCCUGCCGCAGGGGUGGCAGAACAGCACGCUGCUCCUCACCUCUGCUGGAUCAGGCACUAAAAGGGCAAGGAAACCAAAUGGGUGUGGUCCCAGCUAAGCCCAGCCACAUCUCUGCAGGGUGCUGACUGCUCUGGGAGGAGGAAAGCAUGAAACAGGAACAAUAGUUCUGUGUCCUUUGCAUGAGUAACAGAUGUUUUGAAAGAGCUGCAAGAGAUCAAGGGAGCCCUUAUCUGCAUAUGAUGUUCACAAAGGGCCUGCUGGAACAUCCAAGUCCAGUCUGCACUCGUGAAGCACCUGCUCUGCAGACUGUCAGGUGCAUUACAGCUUGUAUGGCUCUAUGGUUCUUCUGUAGACAAUUGCCAUCUGCGCUUAGAGGCAUUAUUAUCUUUACAACAGAAGCCAAGGUAAGUGGCAAAGUCAAGGACUGUCAAGUGAAAUGUGACAGACAGAUGAAUUUCUGCUCAGGAGUUUGCCCCUUUUUUUUCCAGUCAGUUUGA